rnacentral:rRNA from 1 species
GCAGUCGAGCGAGAAGGCCACUUCGGUGGUACUCGAGCGGCGAACGGGUGAGUAACACGUGAGUAAUCUGCCCCUGGCUUUGGGAUAGCCACCGGAAACGGUGAUUAAUACCGGAUAUGACAGCUUCUCGCAUGAGAUGGUUGUGGAAAGUUUUUCGGCCAGGGAUGUGCUCGCGGCCUAUCAGCUUGAUGGUGAGGUAAUGGCUCACCAUGGCUUCGACGGGUAGCCGGCCUGAGAGGGUGACCGGCCACACUGGGACUGAGACACGGCCCAGACUCCUACGGGAGGCAGCAGUGGGGAAUAUUGGACAAUGGGCGGAAGCCUGAUCCAGCAACGCCGCGUGAGGGAUGACGGCCUUCGGGUUGUAAACCUCUUUCGGUGGGGACGAAGCGCAAGUGACGGUACCCACUAAAGAAGCACCGGCCAACUACGUGCCAGCAGCCGCGGUAAUACGUAGGGUGCGAGCGUUGUCCGGAAUUAUUGGGCGUAAAGGGCUCGUAGGCGGUUUGUCGCGUCGGGAGUGAAAACCAGGUGCUUAACACCUGGCUUGCUUUCGAUACGGGCAGACUAGAGGUAUUCAGGGGAGAACGGAAUUCCUGGUGUAGCGGUGAAAUGCGCAGAUAUCAGGAGGAACACCGGUGGGCGAAGGCGGUUCUCUGGGAAUGACCUGA